CUAGAGCUGUUGCUGAGAAGGUAGGAAGGCAAGAAAAUGGGUGUCCGACGAUUGGGGCCGUUACCACGGGCGUUUGACUGUCUGUAACUCAUACAGAUUUUGGCUGACAUGCAGGGUAACAACACGAUUUGUAGACGCUACUGCCCGGUGAACGAUGCGUUUGUCCGAUGAACGGGGUAUGCAAGGCUCCGCACAGUUUUCGGUCUCACUCUAAAUAGAGAAGAGUAGGGACUGCGUUCAAAAACGGAUAACUGAGAACUCGCGUCCGGAAUGUGAUGGUGUCCGAGGAACGGGGCCGCGCUCUAGUACGUUGUGUUCGCAGAUGUGUAUCUUGUCAUUUCAGAAAAUAGUUUUGUGGAUUGACAUGCGGUUGGCGCAUUUUAACUUGUUUCUCAGUGAACAGCAGACAU